rnacentral:rRNA from 1 species
AACACAUGCAAGUGGCGCGACGAACCGGGGCUUGCCCCGGGGCAGAGCCGCGAACGGGUGAGUAACACGUGGGUAACCUGCCCUGUUGAUUGGGACAACCCCGGGAAACCGGGGCUAAUACCAAAUGUGCUCGCGCGACAUCAGUCGCGUUGAGGAAAGGAGGCUUUGGCUUCCGCAAUGGGAUGGGCCCGCGGCCCAUUAGCUUGUUGGUGAGGUAACGGCUCACCAAGGCUUCGAUGGGUAGCUGGUCUGAGAGGACGAUCAGCCACACUGGGACUGAGACACGGCCCAGACUCCUACGGGAGGCAGCAGUGGGGAAUCUUGCGCAAUGCGCGAAAGCGUGACGCAGCAACGCCGCGUGAGGGAAGACGGCCUUCGGGUUGUAAACCUCUUUCAGUUGGGACGAAGCCACGGCGGUUAAUACCCGUCUGUGGUGACGGUACCUUUAGAAGAAGCCCCGGCUAACUACGUGCCAGCAGCCGCAGUAAAAC